AGAGGGUAGGAGAUGGGAAAGGCAGUUUUAAAAUACCCCAGACCCCAUGGCUGCCGGUGAGCGCAUCCCCGAGGGCAUCCCCGAGGGUGGCGAACUGGCCAUGGAAAGAAAGCCAGGCUUGACCAAGGUGUGCACCAAAUAGCCACGUUUUGCAGGAAGACCAGGGACUCCUGUGUCUGGAGAAUUGGUGGGAUGAGACUCGUUCCACGGAGCUGGAAACUUGGGGUCAUGGAGUUUGCUAUUGGAAAGUAAAUGACCCCAAAUUUGGAGUUGCAUCCUCCUAUGGUGACCUUAGACUUAGAGGCAGGCUCGCUACGCUGUGUAUUGAUGGCUGCGUUGAGGGAACAGACUUGAUUUCCUAUUGGGAAAUGUGUUGACUUCCCCAGCCUAUCAGAUGGUCAGUGUGGGACUGCUGUCUGCUACCUCCAUCCUCUGAAGGAACAUGGAGGAGCCCUUCCUCUGUAGGAGCCUGAAGCCUGGCUUUGUCCUAAAAGAACAUACCAGCCAUUCUGGGUCGACCCUUUCUUGUUGCCAGUGCCAGGGGCGGGGCAUCUAGCCUUUAGGCGUAAACACUGGCUGUCUUCCGCUUGGCUUUCCCUGCCUGCUGAGGCCGCUCCAGGCAGGUCUUUAUGAUGAACACACCACAUCUGUCUGCAGAGCGCCACCCCCUCCCCGGGGGUCCUCACUGGGCAGCUGCUGCCCCUGCCUCCCCUGUCCUGGAGGCAGUUCAGUCAGGUCACCCCAGUAGUAGCUGCUUCUGCAACUCUUCCACCAGCUGGUUUUCGUUGUUGGGGGGGCCUUACACACUCGGGGGUGUUGUCCCCAGAGAAGAGACGAGGAGAUGGCUGAUGGGGGUGUGCGUGUGCGUGUGCGUGUGUGUGUGUGUGUGUGUGUGUGUGUGUGUGUGUGUGUGUGUGUGUGUGUGUGUAAGGAGGGGUCAUUCUGUGUGCACCUCUAAAACAUCACAGCAGCAGGCUCCAAGAAUCCACAAACUAUUCCAGCAAGGAAUUGAGACCAGUCACUGGAGGGAUGGGCUUUGGAGGUACCAGGAAGUGAAUGGGUAUUAUGAGAGGCAGUGCGUGCCUGCUGUUGACCCAGUGCUUCCAGGGGCUGGGUCUUGCUAUAACUGGGGAGAGGCCAUAGCUUCAGGAGGCAGACCUGGCUGGAGAAGGCUUUGUUCGAUAUGUGCAGCUUAUACUGUGUAGGCAGGUGGGGGUGGGGUCACGGGAAAUUGGGGUGCUACCAGUUCCAUGUUUGUUUUUUUAAUGACGGUGAAAACCCUUCUGACUUCCCGGCUGCCUCUUCCUGUGUGCUGGUAGGCAGUGAGCAUGUGUGUGAGGGAAGCAGGAACUGUCUCAGAGGCCACGGACCAUGUUCUACAGCUGCUUUGAUAGAGACACUUGCUGGUGGCUUCCACCUGCCGCCCAGGCCUGCGUGAGGGAGGGGUGGGGAGAUGAGGGAGGUGGGAGACCGGCCCGGGCACUUCCCCUCCCUCAUCUUCCACAGAAGCCCCGUCUGGCUGGUUCAGCCUAAGUUCUCACCGAGGGAAUAUGGUACAAUUUGCUUCAGGAUUCCAUGUGUAGUGAUGUUCGAUUUCCUUUUCUUAGUAUCUGUGGAUAAAAAUUGAACAGAGACAGAGUAGCCACUUAAGAAAGUAAGUGAACCCUGUUGGAUCAGAUUGGAUUCUGCAAAGUCCUCACCUUCUCGAGUUGUGCUCAGCAUCUAUUUUGUCAUCUCCCGACUUCAGGAAUAACGCUGGUCCUUGGCACUCUCUUCCCUAGGAAUUAGUGUCUGAAGUUUAUAUACUUGUGACUCACAACUAAAUAUGAUAUUUCCCACUCCAGGGUCUGAAGCAAAGCUAGGGGAGUUCUGCUGAUAGGUGGAAACAGACAACCAAACCUUAGGCGUUUGGGGGGGACUGUCACUCCCAAAGUCGUCAGCAGAGCAAGUCGUCUGCUUCAGUCUGUGCAAGCCUGGCCUUGCUCCGGAACUGAGUGCUCCUCCCAUGUGGAAGGUCUGGGGGCUUCACAUUCCUUGUUCCUAGUGUUCCUGGCCAUGACCCUUCCUCCUGUUUCCCAGUUCCCUGUGAUUCCUCAGAAGACCAGUCUCCCUUCCGAACCACGGCCUCCUGUACACCCAGCUAAGUGGCUCUUUUGCCACCAGAACUCCUGAGGAGCUCCUUUCCCCAGUGGACCCAGGAGACAUUCUGGCCCUCUGCUCACUGUUCCCAGGAACCUGCCCCUCAAGGCCUGUCUGAGAGUGCUUCGCUCUCCAUCCAUCACCUUCCCUAUCCAUUCCCCUCCUACUGGCGCUUCUCUUCUGCCCUGUGUAUUCCACUGUUACCCUAAAUGUCUGUCUGUGCCACUAGCUUGGCCCUGGGCCUUUUAUGAAUACCCAAGUCUUACAAUGAACUUCCUGAGCAGGCGAUGUCCAACUUCUUUGCUCUCAGGGACUGAGUCUGCCUCUCCCCUCUCUCGGGCCUAUGUGACUGAGGAAAAGGUGCAUCUGAGUCCGGGAGAGGUAGCCAGGCAGGCUGCAGAGUCUUUGGGGCAGAGGCUGGGAGAGAUUUGGGUACUUUCUGUUACCACUACUGCGGUGAUAUUCAGAAGAGGGGGGACCUCAUACUGUGACCUGAUCCAGGACCCUCCUCUGGAAGAGAGCUCAGCCCAGGUGUGUGUAUGUGUGUGUGUGUGUAUGUGUGCCUGUGAGUGUGUGUGUGCACAUGCACACACCUGCUCAUGUGCAUAUGAGUGUAAACUGACUUGUCUGGUUGUGUUACUCAGGGUGGGCUGGGGACUCAGCAGAAGAAUCCCUUUAGCCCGCUCAAGACUGGUUUUUUCCUGUACCCUCUCCAGAGGGGUCAGGAAGGAGGUCCAGGUGGGUUGAGGGGGUCGCAGUGGAUAACCACUAAGGCCACAUUGCUGCCAGGAGUGGGGGGGGUUGGGGGCCCCAGGGACCUGGCACCUGGCUUUGGUUUUCCGUCUUCUUUCCUCAGGACGCCCCCUGAGGCCUGGGAUUGCACCUGGCUUUGAGGAGCACCUGUGGCUGGUGCUCUGCCGGUGUAGUCAUGGGCUUCCCUCCUCUCGCAGGGCAGGUGCUCCUGCCCCAGAGACUGGGCAACUGGCUGUUUCUAUGACGUAUUUAUUUUUACUUGUGUUUCAUGUCACUUUUUUAAAAAAGCAAACAGAACAAUUGUAAGUCAGUAUAACUGCCUAUCAGUUUUCUUUAUUUCUCUUUUUGUAAAAUAAAAUUUAAACUCAAGAAGGCAA